GACAUGUGGCCCAGUUCCCCUUCACAGUUCACAUCCCGUGACGGGGCGUUCCCAGCCGUCUCGUUUGUCUGCAGCCAGACCCUCUUGGACUGUUGACAUAAAACGUACUUUUUUAUCAGUAUUUAAAUAUUAUUGUACAUGAAUCACUCCGUUGUCCUUAGAUAACAAUCGUCGCUGUCACUUGAGUGGAUGUAGUUCAGAAACAAAUGAGUAUGAAUGAUAAUAACACUAUCCAUCGAAAUUAUCCAUCGAUAUUUUUCUGGAAUCUUCAAGAUCAUGAAGAGUACUCUCAAAAUCGUCCGGUUUUUGCUAAUCAUGUGUGGAGUGUUUUGUGCUGAAACAGAUGAAGUGAAGUCAGUGUCAGUGAUGGAGGGAGAUUCUGUGACUCUAAACCCUGAUCUCACUCAAAUAAAGGGAAUCGUCCUGCUAUUGUGGAGGUUUGGUGAUAAAGGUUCCACCGUUGCUCAAAUUGACGAAGAUGAAAUCUUAUAUAACAAUAAUGAGAUUUUCAAAGACAGAUUGCAGCUGGAUCAGUCGGGGUCUCUCACCAUCAAUAACACUAGAACCAAACACACUGGACUCUAUGAAGCAGAAAUCAGCCACAAAACUGGAACCUUAUAUAUUAAGUUCCGUCUUACUGUCUAUGAGUCUCCAUCUGUAAUUGAUGCUGGUGAGGCUAAUAUGAAGCUCAUGUCAGUGACGGAGGGAGAUCCUGUGGAUCUUCAUGUUCCUCCACUUUACGGAGAUGAACUGAUAGUGUGGAGGUUUGGAGAUAAAGGAAAACUCAUAGCUAAACAUGAUAUAGAGGCCAAGAGCUCACAAUUAUAUGAUGAAACUGACGAGAGAUUCAGAGACAGACUGAAGCUGGAUCAGACUGGAUCUCUGAUCAUCACAAACACCAGAACCAUAAACUCUGGACUCUAUCAAGUGAAAAUCAGCAGCAACAAACAGACCUUAUACCAGAAAUACUUUGUUACUGUCAGUGUUCCAGGUCUGUGUCCGGCUGCUGUAGUAGGGAUUGUUGUUGUUGUUGUUGUUCUGCUGGUAAUAGUUGCAGCUGCUGGUGUUUUAUUUUAUUGGCGCAGGACCUCUGAACUAAAAAAUCAAAAGUCCAAGAUCUCUGAACGCCAAAAUGAAACAUUGGAGAUCUCUGACAAACUAAAGCAAAUGUCAGAGAUCUCUGAAGAACUAAAAGAAAUGAUGGAGGACUGUGAAAAAGAAUUGUCUGAGAUAUCUAAACAUCAUCAAACAUUGAGGAUCUCUGAACGACUAAAGCAAAUGUUGAAGAACUCUGAACAACUGAAGCAGAUGUCGGAGGAAUGUGAAAAAGAACUGCGCAAGAUCUCUGAACGACUGAAGCAGAUGUCUUUGACAAGUAAAAAGGAAAUCUCUGAACAGGAAAUACAUAAGUACUACUUAAGGGCUAAAUACACAUAAGAAAGAGAAACAUGCAUGAAUGAGAAAAUAAACAGUGGGACGUGCUUGAUGUUAAAAAGAGCAAUAUGCACUGAAGAACUCAAUGCAGUGCUCAACUCACAUGGACAUUUAAGAGGUGUAUAAAUAUCUUAAAAUUGGCAACGGUUAGUAAUUGUCAAAAAAUUAAGUUUAAAGUAAGCUAAGAUGCAAUGACAUACAUCCAAAGUGUGCGCACAAACAGCAAAUUUGCAUAUAUUAACCUUUUCUUUUCUCUUAACAUGCAUUUUAUGAAUAUUUAGGCUAAAGUUAUCGGUUAAACUUACCAUUUGUUGUAGGCAGUCGGAGAGUUGAAAGGAAAAGUUGAAAACAGCUUUUCUAUCAUAUCUGACUCAAAAUCAUAGACCUAGGACCCAGUUCAACUAACUAAUGAAGUUUGCAGAGGAUUACCGAGGAUUCUGAUGAUUGAGUUGCUGUCAGGUGCUGAUGCCACAAAAGAAGAGAUGGAGAAAGGUGAAAGGGAACGGUGCAUUGUUUUUAAAGACACUGCCAUAAGUCAGGAGAUUGGUGGGCCACAUGGUGCUGAUAGGAGAGUCCUAGACAUGCAU